CCCAAAAUUGGGUUGGUUUCUCCUACACUUCCAUGUUCGAUGCGAGCGGCGAGCCAACUUCACUCUCAUUCGUCUUCCACAAACCCCAUAACCCUAGCACCGCCGCCACCAUGUCCUCAUCUCCAUCUUCAGUGAACCGCCGUCCCCCGGGCCCGCUAGCGUUGGGGCUGGAGUCCUUGGGGAAGAAGAUCAGCAUCGGCUGGUCUCCGUCCCGGGCGGCAUCCUCUCCAUCUCGUGUCGCACCUACGCGACCCCACUGGGCCAUGGCUUCUUUCCCCGUGGUGCAGGUCUUUUCGGUCCUCAGGCUUCAUCCCUGUGCAAGUGCAGGGAUAAUUGCUUCUAAUCUCCCGAGGCUGCAUAACCUAAUUCAGAGGCAGAGCAAGGGGGCGUGAGGGAGAUGAGGGAGAUCAUCAGCAUCCAUAUCGCGUAGGCAGGCAUCCAGGUAGGGAAUUCUUGCUGGGAGCUCUACUGCCUCGAGCAUGGUAUCCAGCCUGAUGGCCUCAUGCCCAAUGACACCUCUGUCGGGAUCGCGAGGGAUGCGUUCAACACGUUCUUCAGUGAAACGGGCGCAGGGAAGCACGUUCCAAGGGCCCUGUUUGUCGACUUGGAGCCCACUGUGAUUGACGAGGUGAAGACCGGGGCGUACCGCCGGCUUUUCCAUCCUGAGCAGCUCAUCUCACACAAGGAAGAUGCUGCGAACAACUUCGCCCGUGGACAUUACACAGGCUCAAAAUGUUCUUGGAAACAAGGGGACUGAAAUUGCAAAGGUAGCACAUCGGCGAACUGAUGCGGAGGCGGGCGUGGAGGCGCUCGAUGCCGUCCAGCAAUCAGUAGUUGUCGCUGCAUCGGCGACUUCUUUCCCCCACCAGCAUGGCCGCGUGAAUGGUUCAGGUGAGACGUCGUUGCUUUGUUUGAUUCGAGAGUGACGCUGAUUCGAAUUCCUACUCGUGGGAGGUCAGUUUAUUCGGAUUCAACCAUGCAUGUGAUCGAUCUAUCAGAGAGCUGACCACCUUCUUUGCUUGUCGCUUGGAACCAUCGCAAAGUUCUUUCCAAAGCCUACAGCUUCUAGGAAAUCGGAUACGAUCACCCGAAAAAGGCAAGGGGGAAAUCUUCUUAUAGAUCUGUUCCGUCAUUGUGACAAUCAUUUGGGAGAGAAACAAGUAAACAACCCUUUUUUCCAUAAAACUCCAUCUGGAAGUGCACGACAGCCACUACAGUUGACUACCGAUGUAACCAAGAUGAUGCAAAAGCAUCAGCUGGAAACGCCAUAGUUGCUGCUACUGAGUACCAUCCUUAUAUCCUUAUUUCCUAAUUGUUGUGGUGCAUGUACAAGUUUUUUUAAAACGAAUUCCGAAUUGGUUAUUGCUGUUAGAACUCAUCUGAGUGCUACCUUCUCAUAUGCUCCUUUUUUCUCUCUGGCUGUUAUGUUAAAGGACCAGAUACAAGUCAAUCUUCCCUUCAAAUUACAAUUUAAUUAUUUUAUAUCUGGAUUCUGCAAGACACUUCAAAAAAAAAUAUAACAACAUGUGGUCCCUAUGUUAUCUACUAGCAUGAGCCAUUGUUCCAUGCAGUUUGGUACAUAGUGGCGCAUAUUUUGUUACAUUUACUUUCUAUAUUCUUAGUAUAUUUAUAGCCUAUAUCCCCAAACUAUAUCAUAUACUUAGCACACACCCAUUGUUAUAAUCCACGUGCGCAUGGCGCGCGCACUUUACUAGUAUACAACAUUGUUGGCAACAGGAGCUGAUCUCUUUAUUACACGAUGUAUUGGCUUGGUUUCUAAUGUCCACUUUCCCAUCCCUGUUUUCCCCUCCUUCAGGACUUCUUUAGUGAUCUUUUGGUACAUCGCUGCUGAUACAAACAGCCUACCCAGACUGCUUUUGUGAAGGUAUGUGCGUACCUAUAUUGCUUCUUGAGGCUGACUCAUGUGAUUGGCGGUGUUUGGAAGAUACAUUAAAGUUUAAUUCGACAAAUGUCUUUUGCUUAGGGCUCCUAGCUUGGUGUUUCUUUUUCUGUGAUACUUGUGCAUGCGAAGUAGGUGAACUGCUACUUAAAUGGUACAUAUUUAGCUUAAUUACUUACUGGUGGCAUUGCAGAUUAUAUGUUUCUGUCUUAAAGAUACAUUAGUAGGCUGUAGUACUCACACUGCUUCUGUUCUCAUCUGUUCACACACUGCAUCUAUUCACAGCAUGAUUCAGAGGCAUGCAUGAGGUUGUAGUAGGCGAGACCACCCAAAAGCACUCCCAACGCCUGACCACAAGAGCUAGCAGAUAGCAGCCCUACUGUUGGCAAUCCAAUAAUCACAUACGAAGUUUUCCUUGAAAUUUUUUGAGUCUUGAAUUGACUUCUUCCUUAAUUUAUAGUUUCAACUCAAAACGAAUACACUAUUUUUUGUUGAACCACAUUUUCCUCUGCUCAGUUUGGCAUCAUUAUUGUAUCAUAAUAUUAUCAUAAUUAAUCCAUUCUGGUAAACUGACUCUAGAAAAUUUUCUUGAAUGGAUUCCUAUCUUUUACAGUCUAAGCUACAUUAUGUGCAUGGAAUUUUGCAAUAUACCUUCUGUUUCUUGCUCACAUGAUUGAUGUGAUUUUGAAUUCAUUUAGCACACUGCUUUCUGAGAAGCCAUUUGCAGUGCAAGGAUGAAACUUGGUCAGAGUGUUUACCAUAUGGAUUGGCAGCCCCAAAUAAAGCUCUGGAUUGUCCUAUUCCCAUGACAAGGUUGUGCUCUUCUCCUGCAGUGAAACCAAAAAAGAAGGCGCGCUACUGUUCUUCCGUUUUCAUGUCAAUGCAACAACAGGUCGCUUAAAUUGAAAUUGAUGUCUACAAAGUGCUUCCCAUUUCAUUAUUAGAUUACUGAUAUAGCUAUGCCUGGUGAGUGGAGAUAAGUGGAGGUGGCACUACCAAUUCCUUGAUGUACCAGGAAUGUUUGGAUUGUUGUAUUCUGACAUUGUUUGGCUCAACAUAUUCAAGUUGGAGUGUCAGGUCUCCAACAAUUAAACAAGAUACGGAAUCUGUGUAAGCAAGAGCAUUCAUACCUUGUUAGCUUCCUUCUCUCUCUCUCAAGAUCGAUCUAGAGACCAACAAGAUCAUGGACUUCUUCAAGUUUGACGUCGAUAACGUGGUCAUGGUGACCGGCGGGAGGAACACCGGGCGUGUAGGAGUGAUCAAGAACUAGGAGAAGCACAAAGGCAGCUUCGAGGUCAUCGACGUGCUGCUUGGAGCUUUUUGCAUGCUAUGUCUAGUUUUCUCCUAUUUGUUGUACAGGAAAACAUAGAAUGGAAUUCAAAUUUGGUGGUCGCAAAAGUGUGGAGACUUGAAUUCAUAUAAAGUUAGGCUUAACAUUAGUGCAAACAGUUGUAUUUUAGUUUAGAUUUAGAGUACACUUAUGUAUGCCUUGUUUGACAAUGCUUAUUUAUGAUAUAUUGAAUGGUACUUAUUUAUAUUAUA